AACGAACGCUGGCGGCAUGCCUAACACAUGCAAGUCGAACGAGACCUUCGGGUCUAGUGGCGCACGGGUGCGUAACGCGUGGGAGCCUGCCCUUAGGUUCGGAAUAACUCCCCGAAAGGGGUGCUAAUACCGGAUAAUGUCUUCGGACCAAAGAUUUAUCGCCUUUGGAUGGGCCCGCGUUGGAUUAGCUAGUUGGUAGGGUAAAAGCCUACCAAGGCGACGAUCCAUAGCUGGUCUGAGAGGAUGAUCAGCCACACUGGGACUGAGACACGGCCCAGACUCCUACGGGAGGCAGCAGUGGGGAAUAUUGGACAAUGGGCGAAAGCCUGAUCCAGCAAUGCCGCGUGAGUGAUGAAGGCCUUAGGGUUGUAAAGCUCUUUUACCCGGGAUGAUAAUGACAGUACCGGGAGAAUAAGCUCCGGCUAACUCCGUG
rnacentral:rRNA from 1 species